CAUUCGGAUUGCAGGCUGCAACUCGGCUGCAUGAAGCCGGAAUCGCUAGUAAUCGCGGAUCAGAACGCCGCGGUGAAUACGUUCCCGGGUCUUGUACACACCGCCCGUCACACCAUGGGAGUCGGGAACGCCCGAAGUCGGUGCCCCAACCGCAAGGAGGGAGCCGCCGAAGGCAGGCCCGGCGACUGGGGUGAAGUCGUAACAAGGUACC
rnacentral:rRNA from 1 species